rnacentral:rRNA from 1 species
AUUGAACGCUGGCGGCAUGCCUUACACAUGCAAGUCGAACGGUAACAGGUCUUCGGAUGCUAACGAGUGGCGAACGGGUGAGUAAUACAUCGGAACGUGCCUAGUAGUGGGGGAUAACUACUCGAAAGAGUGGCUAAUACCGCAUGAGAUCUACGGAUGAAAGCAGGGGAUCGCAAGACCUUGUGCUACUAGAGCGGCCGAUGGCAGAUUAGGUAGUUGGUGGGAUAAAAGCUUACCAAGCCGACGAUCUGUAGCUGGUCUGAGAGGACGAUCAGCCACACGGGGACUGAGAAACGGCCCAGACGCCUACGGGAGGCAGCAGUGGGGAAUGUUGGACAAGGGGCGCAAGCCUGAUCCAGCAAUGCCGCGUGCAGGAUGAAGGCCUUCGGGUUGUAAACUGCUUUUGUACGGAACGAAAAGCCCCGGGUUAAUACCCUGGGGUCAUGACGGUACCGUAAGAAUAAGCACCGGCUAACUACGUGCCAGCCGCCGCAGUAA